CUUUCUUUUUUAACGUUUAUUUAUUUAGUUUGAGGGGAGGGGCAGAGAGAGAGGGAGAGAGAGAAUCCCAAGCAGGCUCCCCACUGUCAGCAUAGAGCACGGGGCUCCAUCUCCCCGACCGUGAGAUCAUGACCUGAGCUGAUCAAGAGUUGGACACUCAACAGACUGAGCCACCCGGGCACCCCUGUCCAGCACUUUGAAUGAUAGUUUAUGCAGCACUUUUCACCUUGUUCUCUCACUGGCCCACAGCAAAAUGGUGCACAUACACACCACUUGCAAAGUCUAAGGUCUAGUUAGGUUCUCAGGAAGUCAGGCUGGUGGGGGGCAAGGGUAAGGCAGGAAGCCUUCACGUGGGGAAGCAUGAUGACACCCCUGCCCCCAGCUCCAAACACUUUCAUUUUUCCAAAGUGAAGUUCGCAGUAUUGUUUUCUCAUUAUAAAAAAUAACGUGCAUUCCCCCAAGAUACCUGGAAAUAUAAACAAAGUUACCCACAAUGCACCUUCCUCUCCCUGCUUUUACCAGUGAGUGCAGAAUCCUUCUAGAGUUUUCUCUGUACCAAGAUCUCUCUGCAGCUAAUUACGGCAGGAUCCUGCUUCUGCCCACAUGGGGGCAGAGGUGGUUACCCCACAAGGCUGCGAGGAGAAGUUCCAGACCAUGGUUUCAUACUUGGGGCGUUUCUACUAUCUCUGCUGGUUGGCACGUUCCUGCCAGAUGGAAGCCCCAUCUUGGCCAGAACCUCACCAGGUAAUCAGGUGACAUGCUACCCUCUUCCUGAGUACCACCUCACCUGUCUUCCCCCUACCAAUCUGACACUGAGCUCUGCUGGAGAUGUGAGUAGUUGCUUUCCUGAGCCAGCAGGUAAGAUUUCAUGCUGAUCCCGGCCCAGCAGGAAAACAGGUGCCCCCCACCCCCCAUUAGGAUAAUUUGACGAAGGCUUGAUAAGGGGACUGUUCACAAAGGUGUGAGCAGAGUGUAAGAAACCAGAGGGAGAGUGCAGGCGUGAGCUAGAAUAUGGGGCCCCUAGGGCCCCGAAGCCCAAAGCAGCGGGGUGGUUACCAGAACACAAGGAGAGCGCUGCCUGGACCGCCAUUUCCUGCGCCCGUCCGUCCAUUUCCUACCAUUGCUGAACCAGUCAGAAACCUGAAGAUAAGGAAGCCUGUCGCCAUAACUGUAAGUUCAGCCUCCCCGACCGACCGAGAGCAGAGCCAAGUCAAUUUAGGGAAGGAAGUGGAGGGGAAAAAAAAAAAAAAGUGCCAGCCCAGGAGGCCAGGACAACGCCAAGUAAGAGGAUGAGGAGAUGUGACAGUAUCUGCCACUCACUCCAACACAUCGCCCAAGAUGGGGAAGGCCUCUCGGCUCAGCCCUCUGGAGUUGUCUCCCUGCACAUGCCUUCCUUCCUGAUGCCGCUCCCCUCCUUGUUCCUCUCUCAGCCCUUCACAGCAUCAUUUUCCAGCAUCUCUCCCCAGUUCCAAGACUCCCCACCCUCCCUGAUCUAGAAAGCCUCCAGGCCCCCUGCACCUUCUUUAGUCACACAAACGCUGCCUUCAGGCAGGAGCGCUUGGGAUAGUUUGCUGCCUCUGAAGUGUUGGGUGAGCCCUGGCCUGAGCUCUGAGCUCUGGAACCGGCUCACCUUCCCCACCAGCCACUUAGCAGCCACUGAGAGUAAUCACCCCUCAUAAGAGUGAGGGUAUUCAUUUUCUUGCUAAAACAGCCCAGGCUGUUCUUGUGAGGAAAGGAUAUCAUCCUCAAAGCAAGAUGCUUGUGGUCAUCUGUCUAGUGAAGUCCGUCUAUAACGGGGGCUUUAAAAUGCAGUACUUUUGUCGCUGCUAUUCUCAACGUGCCCCUAUGAUAAAGUCUCACUGGCUAUUGGUGCUGUGUGCAUUGGUUCUUUAAAAACAUUUUUUUGGACCUGGCUAUCAUUUUUUAAAUUUUAGAUUAAUUUAAUGGAUUUUCUUAGGUUUUUCCAAGGGGAAGCCCUCUUCUCUCUUCCUUUCCCAAUAUCUAUACCUCUUACAUCUUUUUCUUGCCCUGGUAUUGGCUAGAACCCCCAGAACAAAGUUGAAUAACAGUGGUGAUUGCUGGAAACCUUGCUAUGUUCUUGAUUUUAAUGGGAAUGUCACAUUGUUUUACUGGUAAGCAUGACAUGUUCAAGUAUGGCAUUUUUUUUAACGUGUAUUUGUUUUUGAGAGAGACAGAGACAGACAGUGAGUGGGGGAGGGGCAGAAAGAGAAGGAGACAGAAUUCGAAGCAGGCUCCAGGCUCUGAGCUGUCAGCACAGAGCCCGAUGCAGGGCUCAAACCCAUGAACUGCAAGAUCAUGGCCUGAGCCGAAGUCGGAAGCUUAGCCGGCUCAGCCACCCAAGCUCCCCCAGGUAUGACAUGUUUUACUGUUUGUUUCAGGGGGCUUCCCUUUAUUCUGCUAAGGAAAAAAUAAGAGUUUUUUUUUUUAACUCAGUAAUGAAUAUUGAAUUAUAUCAAAGAUAUAUUUGGCAUCUGCUUACAUUUUUUCCUUGACUUGUGAGUAUAACUUGCGGAUAUACUUCUUAAUAUGAAACCAUCCUUAUGCCCUUGAGAUAAAUUUUAUUUGGUCAUAAUGUAUUAUUCAGAUAAUACACUACUAGAUUCAAUUUGCUGAAUCUGGCACUUAUAGUCAUAAAUGAUGUUGCAUUAUGGGGUUUUUUUGUUUGUUUUUUCUUUUGCUAUACUUUGUAGAUUUUGGAAUCAAGAUCAUUCUAAUCAUUAGAAUGAACAGGGGAGGUUUUCUACCUUAGAAUCAUCUCUCUCUCAAAGGUUUGAUGGAACUUGGCUGCAAACCCAUUUUGGGUCCAUCUCUGUUUGGAGAGAGACAGAGCAUGAGCAGGGGAGGGGCAGACACAGAAUCAGAAGCAGGCUCCAGGCUCUGAGCUGUCGGCACAGAGCCCGACGCGGGGCUCGAGCGCACAGACUGCGAGAUCAUGACCCGUGCCAAAGUCGGACGCUCAACAGACUGAGCCACGCAGGAGCUCCCCAUCUUAUUUUUUUUAUGUGUUUCAAACAUGUGGUCCCAGCUCCGCCAAACAGAGAUGUUCCUGCCCAGGAAUCCGAGUCUGGAGAAGUUGACCCAGAGAUGUGGAGAGAGAGCCAGGAAAGAGUGUGGAUUGCUUGAGUAUUAAUCCCCAAGAGACUAAAGUAAGAAGUGACUGAGUUUCCCUCAGUGCUCAAGUUUAAGUUUUCUACCAUCAGUAGAAUUGGGGCUGGAUCCAGAGAAACAGAGUUCCCUUUUCACAGAUCUAAACUGUGACUGGGAAAUGUCUCACACACACACACACACACACACACACACACACACACACACAUCAGUGACAUUUAAAGAGUGCUAAGUGUCAUCUAUUUAGUCAGAAAAAAAUCCUCCAAGAUAGGUAUUGCUAUCUUCGUAUCAACACCUGGAUGAGAGUCACAGAGAGCGGGCGGCAGCAGAGCCAGAACUCGGGUGAGGUACACCUGGCUUCAGGCCCAUGCUCCACGCGCUUAAACAUUCCAGUUCGUAUUCUAAUUGUCAUUCGUCUCUGAACAUCCGCUUUGAUUUUGCCUUUCAGUGGAGGGAUUUAAAAAAACGUAUAAAUGGUUCAGAAUUUGUCAGUUAACCUUCUGUUACUAAGUUUUAGUUUCAUUACGUUGUGCCCAGAAAAUGUGACUAAAUGGUUCCACUUUCAGGAAUUUAUCAUGGUUCGCUUUAAAGACUAAUA